UGAAGGUGGUAGGGUUCAGGGUUAGGGUUAGAUGAAGGUGCUAGGGUUUAGGGUAAGGGUUAGAUGAAGGUGGUAGGGUUCAGGGUUAGGGUUAGAUGAAGGUGCUAGGGUUCAGGGUUAGAUGAAGGUGGUAGGGUUCAGGGUUAGGGUUAGAUGAAGGUGCUAGGGUUCAGGGUUAGAUGAAGGUGGUAGGGUUCAGGGUUAGGGUUAGAUGAAGGUGGUAGGGUUCAGGGUUAGAUGAAGGUGGUAGGGUUCAGGGUUAGGGUUAGAUGAAGGUGCUAGGGUUCAGGGUUAGAUGAAGGUGGUAGGGUUCAGGGUUAGGGUUAGAUGAAGGUGGUAGGGUUCAGGGUUAGAUGAAGGUGGUAGGGUUCAGGGUUAGGGUUAGAUGAAGGUGGUAGGGUUCAGGGUUAGAUGAAGGUGGUAGGGUUCAGGGUUAGGGUUAGAUGAAGGUGCUAGGGUUCAGGGUUAGAUGAAGGUGCUAGGGUUUAGGGUAAGGGUUAGAUGAAGGUGGUAGGGUUCAGGGUAAGGGUUAGAUGAAGGUGGUAGGGUUCAGGGUUAGGGUUAGAUGAAGGUGGUAGGGUUCAGGGUUAGGGUUAGAUGAAGGUGGUAGGGUUCAGGGUUAGGGUUAGAUGAAGGUGACAGUGGUAAGGUUAAGGCUGUUGGGGAUAUGAUGAGUUAAAAGCCUCUAGCCAAGAAUCCAUGACAGAUUAGCUCAUGUACUUAACGUUGAUCAAUAAACUUGAUAGUGUCGAAAUGAACAGUGUAAUGGAUGGGCGUGAGCUGGCACUAACAGAUAUCUGUGUGUGGUACAAUGACACGAUUCAGGGACAUUAGGAAAUGCUUAUUGUAAAAACCAAUGAAAACUGAAACCUUUUCAUAUGGAUAGCUGUUCCCUAGCCCAAAUCAUGAUGUCACUGCACUAAGUUUGGACUUUGCACUUGAAGCUUUAUCUUUUAUCUUUGAGUUGUACUUGAAGUUCUAUUGAGUCAAGACUCACCCACUGACGUGUCUGUUUGCCUGUCUGCCUGUCCGUCUGUCUUUCUAGAAAGCCUGGAGGAGAUUUUUCUUUAAUGGAUGAGGGAAGGGACCGUUCUCUCCAGAGGAGUUGCUUGGAUGGACAAGACGGAGACAUAAAGGUGAUUGGAGGGAUUAGAGAAAGAGAGCUUCUGAUUGGAGAAAGAGAUUCUGACCUCCCGCCUUCAGUAACAAGGAUUCAUCCUGUUGUUGUAUUCUGAACUAGCAGGGAAUCUCUGUUACUGGGGGUGAGGGUUCCGUCACACACACGAAGACUCACACACAGACACACACCUUUGUUAUUUUACUGCUUACACUUCUCCUGUACUGUCCUAUGUAUGUACUGUAUCUAAUUUGAUUAAAGAUGUGAGAAGAUGUUCUUGA